rnacentral:rRNA from 1 species
GAAAAUGAGAGUUUGAUCCUGGCUCAGGACGAACGCUGGCGGCGUGCCUAAUACAUGCAAGUCGAGCGAGCUUGCCUAGAUGAAUUUGGUGCUUGCACCAAAUGAAACUAGAUACAAGCGAGCGGCGGACGGGUGAGUAACACGUGGGUAACCUGCCCAAGA